GGAGGGAGGGGUCUGGGC
rnacentral:miRNA from 1 species